rnacentral:rRNA from 1 species
CCUACGGGAGGCAGCAGUGGGGGAUAUUGGACAAUGGGGGAAACCCUGAUCCAGCGACGCCGCGUGAGUGAAGAAGUAUUUCGGUAUGUAAAGCUCUAUCAGCAGGGAAGAAAGAAAUGACGGUACCUGAGUAAUAAGCCCCGGCUAACUACGUGCCAGCAGCCGCGGUAAUACGUAGGGGGCAAGCGUUAUCCGGAAUUACUGGGUGUAAAGGGAGCGUAGACGGCGAUGCAAGUCUGGAGUGAAAGGCGGGGGCCCAACCCCCGGACUGCUUUGGAAACUGGAUGGCUGGAGUGCAGGAGAGGUAAGUGGAAUUCCUAGUGUAGCGGUGAAAUGCGUAGAUAUUAGGAGGAACACCAGUGGCGAAGGCGGCUUACUGGACUGUAACUGACGUUGAGGCUCGAAAGCGUGGGGAGCAAACAGGAUUAGAUACCCGAGUAGUC